CCUACGGGAGGCAGCAGUGGGGAAUUGUUCGCAAUGGGCGCAAGCCUGACGACGCAACGCCGCGUGGAGGAUGAAGGUCUUCGGAUUGUAAACUCCUGUUGCUCGGGACGAAAAGCUUCGACCUAAUACGUCGAAGUCUGACGGUACCGGGUGAGGAAGCCCCGGCUAACUCUGUGCCAGCAGCCGCGGUAAUACAGAGGGGGCAAGCGUUGUUCGGAAUUACUGGGCGUAAAGGGCGCGUAGGCGGCCCUCUAAGUCAGACGUGAAAUCCCCGGGCUUAACCCGGGAACUGCGUCUGAUACUGGGGGGCUUGAAUCCGGGAGAGGGAUGCGGAAUUCCAGGUGUAGCGGUGAAAUGCGUAGAUAUCUGGAGGAACACCGGUGGCGAAGGCGGCAUCCUGGACCGGUAUUGACGCUGAGGCGCGAACGCCAGGGGAGCAAACGGGGAUUAGAUACCCCGGUAGUCCUGGCCCUAAACGAUGAAUGCUUGGUGUGGCGGGUAUCGAUCCCUGCCGUGCCGAAGCUAACGCAUUAAGCAUUCCGCCUGGGGAUACGGUCGCAAGGCUGAAACUUAAGGAAUUGACGG
rnacentral:rRNA from 1 species